CAUGAUGCCUCGCUCUCAAGAUGACCAAAUGGAUCUCAGAGCGGACCAGCCGUUGUGACAGCUGAGUUUCAAGUUUGCUGAGGGAGACUCCAGCGCCGGCUACGACCUUGAACAGACACGGAAGAACCAAACAUCCCCACCUCCCCCCGGCCUCACUGUUGCUCUCUCCCUCACUCUUUAUGACAGGACACGCUCAGGACAGGAGCCGGCCAGUAAAACAGCACUAGCAGCAGAAAUGAUUUAAUUUGAUGGGGAUAUACUAAAGAAGACGGUACCUCUUCUCCACAGAUCAUCACAUGCUAAGAUACCUGCUGCAGCAGCACGCCGUAUUCAUCGCAGGCGGUCAGAGCCCGAUGCCCUGGAAGCCUGUGUUUUCUCCCUGAGCCACCAGGGGGCCUCAGUCCCACAGUGGGACACCCAGCUCUGAGUUUUGCCUUCACACUGAACCCUCCAGCCCCAGUC